UACGGAGGGGGCUAGCGUUGUUCGGAAUUACUGGGCGUAAAGCGCACGUAGGCGGACUGGAAAGUCAGAGGUGAAAGCCCGGGGCUCAACCCCGGAACUGCCUUUGAAACUAGAUGGCUUGAAUCUUGGAGAGGCGAGUGGAAUUCCGAGUGUAGAGGUGAAAUGCGUAGAGAUUUGGAGGAAUACCAGUGGCGAAGGCGGCCCCCUGGCACAAUACUGACGCUGAGGUGCGAAAGCGUGGGGAGCAAACAGG
rnacentral:rRNA from 1 species